CAUUGCCAUUUAUUGGGCGUGUUGGUAAACUGACUUGGGAAGCAUAUUUAGCGCCGACGAACAAAGAAAGAAAGG
rnacentral:lncRNA from 1 species